GCUGGAUACCAAAUUGGUCGGCGAACCUGUCUUCCGGAACCUCAUGGGAGAGCUUGAUGUCAAGUUUGAGAAGCAUGAACAGUGGCUGCUCCUGAACGCCACUCUGGAUGUCUACCUAAACAUCUUCUCCAACAUGCUGAAGGAGAACCAUCCAGAGGAAGUCAAGCAGGGCCUCAGCAGACUCCGCGGGAAGGUGGAGUACCUGAAGAGGAGCUACUACCAGGACAGACUGAAGAUGAAGAUACAGGAUCUGGCGGACAUUAAGACCAACGAUGCUGUUGUCCAGAGGAAGGCUGUGAACGAGUUCAAAGAGGUCUACCAGAGAGCUUCCCGGCUGGGGACCAUUCUCCAUCAGAGAGCCGAGAAGGUCACACAGAGCUGAGACCAGACAGAACCACCAACUGACUGAUUGAAGACAGAGACUACAGACUGUAAUACAUUAGGAAAGUGUGAUGUCAUUUCACUGCCGGUAUCCACUUCAAGCGCAGAACCUGCUGAAAUGAAAACUCAACCGAGCACCUUCAUAAAAGGCAUCGGGUAGAAGUAAAUGAAUCCAUAUAAUUUCAUAUAUUACCUGAAAUGGGCGUGUUUUCAUGAAUUGAAUGAUAUAAUCUUGUAGUGCAGUCAAAAACAGGAGAAGUGGAUACCUGAAGAAAGGUGUAAACAGUCACUUUCCCAACGUAAACUUAACAACUGUCUCACAGCUUCCUCACCUACUGGUCACCAGGCUUGUUCACGGUGC
rnacentral:lncRNA from 13 species